rnacentral:rRNA from 1 species
AAUGAACGCUGGCGGCGUGCCUAACACAUGCAAGUCGGAUGUGCCCAGCAAUGGGUGCAUGGCAGACGGGUGAGUAACGCGUGGGGAACCUACCUCUUUGUGGGGAAUAACGUUCCGAAAGGAAUGGUAAUACCGCAUGAGACCGUUGGCUGGGAUGCUGACGGUGAAACCCGGGGACCGCAAGGCCUGGGGCAAGGAGAGGGUCCUGCGUCUGAUUAGCUAGUUGGUGGGUAACGCCUACCAAGGCAUCGAUCAGUAGCCGGCCUGAGAGGGUGAUCGGCCACACUGGAACUGAGACACGGUCCAGACUCCUACGGGAGGCUG